rnacentral:tRNA from 1 species
GGCGACAUAGCCAAGUGGUAAGGCGUGGGUCUGCAAAACCCUGAUCCCGGGUCCGAAUCCCGGUGUCGCCUCGA